rnacentral:rRNA from 1 species
AACGAACGCUGGCGGCAUGCCUAACACAUGCAAGUCGAACGAGACCUUCGGGUCUAGUGGCGCACGGGUGCGUAACGCGUGGGAACCUGCCCUUAGGUUCGGAAUAACUCCCCGAAAGGGGUGCUAAUACCGGAUAAUGUCUUCGGACCAAAGAUUUAUCGCCUUUGGAUGGUCCCGCGUUGGAUUAGCUAGUUGGUAGGGUAAAAGCUUACCAAGGCGACGAUCCAUAGCUGGUCUGAGAGGAUGAUCAGCCACACUGGGACUGAGACACGGCCCAGACUCCUACGGGAGGCAGCAGUGGGGAAUCUUGGACAAUGGGCGAAAGCCUGAUCCAGCAAUGCCGCGUGAGUGAUGAAGGCCUUAGGGUUGUAAAGCUCUUUUACCCGGGAUGAUAAUGACAGUACCGGGAGAAUAAGCUCCGGCUAACUCCGUG